rnacentral:rRNA from 1 species
GGUUUCAACGGGUAACGGGGAAUAAGGGUUCGAUUCCGGAGAGGGAGCCUGAGAAACGGCUACCACAUCCAAGGAAGGCAGCAGGCGCGCAAAUUACCCAAUCCCGACACGGGGAGGUAGUGACAAUAAAUAACAAUAUAGGGCUCUUUCGGGUCUUAUAAUUGGAAUGAGUACAAUUUAAAUCCCUUAACGAGGAACAAUUGGAGGGCAAGUCUGGUGCCAGCAGCCGCGGUAAUUCCAGCUCCAAUAGCGUAUAUUAAAGUUGUUGCAGUUAAAAAGCUCGUAGUUGAACCUUGGGGUCAGUAGAUUGGUCGUGCCACUGGUAUGUACUGGUCUUACUGGCUCCUCCUUCCUGAUGAACCGUAAUGCCAUUAAUUUGGUGUUGCGGGGAGACUGGACUGUUACUUUGAAAAAAUUAGAGUGUUUAAAGCAGGCUAACGCUUGAAUACAUUAGCAU